UAGGGAAUCUUCGGCAAUGGACGAAAGUCUGACCGAGCAACGCCGCGUGAGCGAAGAAGGUUUUCGGAUCGUAAAACUCUGUUGGUAGAGAAGAACGUUGGUGAGAGUGGAAAGCUCAUCAAGUGACGGUAACUACCCAGAAAGGGACGGCUAACUACGUGCCAG
rnacentral:rRNA from 1 species